UACGAAGGGGGCUAGCGUUAUUCGGAAUCACUGGGCUUAAAGGGUGCGUAGGCGGGCCCGUUAGUCAGGGGUGAAAUCCCACGGCCCAACCGUGGAAGUGCCUCUGAUACUGCGGGCCUGGAGGGGGAUAGGGGCGUGCGGAACUUCCGGUGGAGCGGUGAAAUGCGUAGAUAUCGGAAGGAACACCGGUGGCGAAAGCGGCGCGCUGGAUCCCUACUGACGCUGAGGCACGAAAGCCAGGGGAGCGAACGGG
rnacentral:rRNA from 1 species